rnacentral:rRNA from 1 species
AAACUAACAAGGAUUCCCCUAGUAACGGCGAGUGAAGCGGGAAGAGCUCAAAUUUGUAAUCUGGCACUUUCAGUGUCCGAGUUGUAAUCUCGAGAAGUAUUUUCCGCGCCGGACCGCAUACAAGUCUGUUGGAAUACAGCGUCAUAGUGGUGAGAACCCCGUAACUGAUGCGGAUGCCCGGUGCUUUGUGAUAUACUUUCGAAGAGUCGAGUUGUUUGGGAAUGCAGCUCAAAUUGGGUGGUAAAUUCCAUCUAAAGCUAAAUAUUGGAGCAAGACCGAUAGCGAACAAGUACCGUGAGGGAAAGAUGAAAAGCACUUUGGAAAGAGAGUUAACAGUACGUGAAAUUGUUGGAAGGGAAACGCUUGAAGUCAGACUUGCUAUUCGGAGUUCAGCCGCAAGGUGUAUUCUUCGAUUUGCAGGCCAGCAUCAGUUUUUGGGGGUGGAAAAUCGUGGUUUGAAGGUAGCAGUUUCGGCUGUGUUAUAGCUUUCCACUGGGAUUCAUCUUCGGGGACUGAGGAACGCAGUACGCUUUUUGCAAGGCUUUCGAGCUUUUCGUACUUAGGAUGCUGGUGGAAUGGCUUUAAACGACCCGUCUUGAAACACG